AUAGCAUGGUGGGGGCAUUUCAUAAUUAGUUCUUUUAAUCUCUUCCAAAUCUCAUGAAAUAUCUCCCCAUCCAACUGAAAAAAACUAGUUAUGGCCUUUCUGAUUU